rnacentral:rRNA from 1 species
CACGUAGUUAGCCGGGGCUUCUUAGUCAGGUACCGUCAUUUUCUUUCCUGCUGAUAGAGCUUUACAUACCGAAAUACUUCUUCACUCACGCGGCGUCGCUGCAUCAGGGUUUCCCCCAUUGUGCAAUACUCCCCACUGCUGCCUCCCGUAGGAGUUUGGGCCGUGUCUCAGUCCCAAUGUGGCCGUUCACCCUCUCAGGCCGGCUACUGAUCGUCGCCUUGGUGGGCCUCUACCCCACAACAAGCUAAUCAGACGCGGGUCCAUCGUAUACCACCGGAGUUUUUCACACCAGACCAUGCGAUCCUGUGCGCUUAUGCGGUUUAGCACCUAUUCUAAGUGUUACUCCCCCUGUAUACGGCACGGUUACCCACGCGUUACUCACCCGUCCGCCACUAACAGAUAAAUCACUAGGUUCAUUACCUGUCCGUUCGACUUGCAUGUGUUAAGCACGCCGCCAGCGUUCAUCCUGACGCCAGGAUCAAAACCUUCU